rnacentral:rRNA from 1 species
AUUGAACGCUGGCGGCAUGCUUUACACAUGCAAGUCGAACGGUAACAGGCCGCAAGGUGCUGACGAGUGGCGAACGGGUGAGUAAUGCAUCGGAACGUGCCCAGUCGUGGGGGAUAACGCAGCGAAAGCUGUGCUAAUACCGCAUACGAUCUAUGGAUGAAAGCGGGGGACCGUAAGGCCUCGCGCGAUUGGAGCGGCCGAUGUCAGAUUAGGUAGUUGGUGGGGUAAAGGCCCACCAAGCCAACGAUCUGUAGCUGGUCUGAGAGGACGACCAGCCACACUGGGACUGAGACACGGCCCAGACUCCUACGGGAGGCAGCAGUGGGGAAUUUUGGACAAUGGGCGCAAGCCUGAUCCAGCAAUGCCGCGUGCAGGAAGAAGGCCUUCGGGUUGUAAACUGCUUUUGUACGGAACGAAACGGUCUGGGUUAAUACCUCGGGAGGAUGACGGUACCUGAAGAAUAAGCACCGGCUAACUACGUGCCAGCAGCCGCCGUAACAC